CGACCUCAGGUCAGGCGGGGCCACCCGCUGAGUUUAAGCAUAUCAAUAAGCGGAGGAGAAGAAACUUACGAGGAUUCCCCUAGUAACGGCGAGCGAAACGGGAAGAGCCCAGCUUGAGAAUCGGGCAGCCCCGCUGCUCGAAUUGUAGUCUGUAGAAGCGUCCUCAGUGACGGACCGGGCCCAAGUCCCCUGGAACGGGGCGCCGGAGAGGGUGAGAGCCCCGUCGUGCCCGGACCCUGUCGCACCACGAGGCGCACUCGGCGAGUCGGGUUGUUUGGGAAUGCAGCCCAAAUAGGGCGGUAAAUUCCGUCUAAGGCUAAAUACGGGCGAGAGACCGAUAGCGAACAAGUACCGCGAGGGAAGGAUGAAAAGGACUUUGAAAAGAGAGUCAAAGAGUGCUUGAAAUUGUCGGGAGGGAAGCGGAUGGGGGCUGGCGGUGUGCCUCGGCCGGAUGCGGAACGGUGUUGAGCCGGUCCGCCACUCGGCUCGGGGUGCGGACCAUUGCGGGUCGCGACGGCGACCAAAGCCCGGGUGGUUGAUCCCACCCGCGGACACGUCGUCGGCGCGAUCGGGGUAGCAACACGCGCCCCUCGGGCGUGCCAGCUUCUGGCACCCGCGGUGCUUCCGGCAUCGGUCUGCGGGCUCCCCAUCCGACCCGUCUUGAAACACGGACCAAGGAGUCUGACAUGCGUGCGAGUCAACGGGUGUGCAAACCCGGGAGGCGCAAGGAAGCUGACUGGCGGGAACCCCUUGUGGGAUGCACCGUCGACCGACCUCGAUCUUCUGAGAAGGGUUCGAGUGGGAGCAUGCCUGUCGGGACCCGAAAGAUGGUGAACUAUGCCUGAGCGGGGCGAAGCCAGAGGAAACUCUGGUGGAGGCCCGAAGCGUUACUGACGUGCAAAUCGUUCGUCUGACUUGGGUAUAGGGGCGAAAGACUAAUCGAACCAUCUAGUAGCUGGUUCCCUCCGAAGUUUCCCUCAGGAUAGC
rnacentral:rRNA from 1 species